ACCUCGGAAGUCCGACCUCGCCGCCCACCUACCGCGGUUGCACUCUUCUGAAGUCCAGUCAGGGGCCAUACCCUGCCACCGCCUCCAGCAUUUAAUGCGCAUGAUCUCUGCAAACCCCCGACUCACUCAACAAUUAAUGUAUAUCUCCGACUUACUCAACAAUUAAUGCAUAUCUCCGGCUCACUCAACAAUUAAUGCGCGUGGCUCCUAUCAUCUACGGAUCUUCGGUCCUCCACGGCAAAUCAACUCAGCAGCGUUCAGUCAGCCGUGACAACUCUCUGAUCCCGACCUUGCCUCCGACGUCAAGGCAUUAAUUCACCUGGUCGCGCACCAACUCAAGCGACGUGCUGAGUCGUACGGCAACCUCGCCCCAUCACAUCACAGGUAAUCCGACCCCCCU
rnacentral:lncRNA from 1 species